rnacentral:rRNA from 1 species
GACGAACGCUGGCGGCGCGCCUAACACAUGCAAGUCGAACGAGCGAGAGAGAGCUUGCUUUCUCAAGCGAGUGGCGAACGGGUGAGUAACGCGUGAGGAACCUGCCUCAAAGAGGGGGACAACAGUUGGAAACGACUGCUAAUACCGCAUAAGCCCACGACCCGGCAUCGGGUAGAGGGAAAAGGAGCAAUCCGCUUUGAGAUGGCCUCGCGUCCGAUUAGCUAGUUGGUGAGGUAACGGCCCACCAAGGCGACGAUCGGUAGCCGGACUGAGAGGUUGAACGGCCACAUUGGGACUGAGACACGGCCCAGACUCCUACGGGAGGCAGCAGUGGGGAAUAUUGCACAAUGGGGGAAACCCUGAUGCAGCGACGCCGCGUGGAGGAAGAAGGUCUUCGGAUUGUAAACUCCUGUUGUUGAGGAAGAUAAUGACGGUACUCAACAAGGAAGUGACGGCUAACUACGUGC